GAUGUAGUGUGUAUGGGCUUCUU
rnacentral:siRNA from 1 species